AUUGAACGCUGGCGGCAGGCCUAACACAUGCAAGUCGAGCGGAUGAAGGGAGCUUGCUCCUGGAUUCAGCGGCGGACGGGUGAGUAAUGCCUAGGAAUCUGCCUGGUAGUGGGGGAUAACGUCCGAAAACGGGCGCUAAUACCGCAUACGUCCUGCGGGAGAAAGUGGGGGAUCUUCGGACCUCACGCUAUCAGAUGAGCCUAGGUCGGAUUAGCUAGUUGGUGGGGUAAAGGCCUACCAAGGCGACGAUCCGUAACUGGUCUGAGAGGAUGAUCAGUCACACUGGAACUGAGACACGGUCCAGACUCCUACGGGAGGCAGCAGUGGGGAAUAUUGGACAAUGGGCGAAAGCCUGAUCCAGCCAUGCCGCGUGUGUGAAGAAGGUCUUCGGAUUGUAAAGCACUUUAAGUUGGGAGGAAGGGCAGUAAGUUAAUACCUUGCUGUUUUGACGUUACCAACAGAAUAAGCACCGGCUAACUUCGUG
rnacentral:rRNA from 1 species